rnacentral:SRP_RNA from 1 species
GCCGGGCGUGGUGGCGGGUGCCUGUAAUCCCAGCUACUUGGGAGGCUGAGGUAGGAGAAUUGCUUGAACCCAGGAGGCAGAGGUUGCAGUGAGCCAAGAUCAUGCCACUGCACUCCAACCUGGGCGACAGAGCAAGACUCUGUCUCCA